rnacentral:rRNA from 1 species
UACGUAGGGGGCAAGCGUUAUCCGGAUUUACUGGGUGUAAAGGGAGCGCAGACGGCAGUGCAAGUCUGAUGUGAAAGCCCGGGGCUCAACCCCGGAACUGCAUUGGAAACUGUACAGCUUGAGUGUCGGAGAGGUAAGCGGAAUUCCUAGUGUAGCGGUGAAAUGCGUAGAUAUUAGGAGGAACACAGGUGGCGAAGGCGGCUUACUGGACGAUGACUGACGUUGAGGCUCGAAAGCGUGGGGAGCAAACAGGAUUAGAUACCCUGGUA